CAAGAAUAAGAAUUCAAUUGUGGACCCCAAAGUGACAGUGGAGAUCCAUGGCGUGAGCCGGGACGUGGCCAGCCGCCAGACUGCUGUCAUCACCAACAAUGGUAGGUGCUGGGCCUGGGCUGGGCUACUAGGGCUGGUGUCCAUGCUGCUGAUAUGGUGCCUGUCCCCCUAGGUUUCAACCCAUGGUGGGACACGGAGUUUGCGUUUGAGGUAGUUGUGCCUGACCUUGCCCUCAUCCGCUUCUUGGUGGAAGAUUAUGAUGCCUCCUCCAAGAAUGACUUCAUUGGCCAGAGUACCAUCCCCUUGAACAGCCUCAAGCAAGGAUACCGCCAUGUCCACCUCAUGUCUAAGAACGGGGACCAGCAUCCAUCAGCCACCCUCUUUGUGAAGAUCUCCCUCCAGGACUAGGCUGGAGGAAGCCAGUGGGGUCCCCCCUGAGUGGGCUGGGCCCUCUGUCCACAUGUGGGGACAGGGCUGGUGUGGCUGCUCCCAGCCUCUUGCUCAGAGCUAGGCCCCCAAAUUGCCUUCAGCCCUAACAUAGUGUCUGCUGCUGCCUCCCUGGGGACCAGGAGCUAGCCCAGUCCCUGGAGCUGUCCUUCAUUCCGUUAGGAAUAACACUGCAGCCCUCUCCACCCUCCGGCCAGCGAGUGGUCAAGGAUUUUUAUAAAAAUCACGAUAAGAUUAA
rnacentral:lncRNA from 1 species